rnacentral:rRNA from 1 species
GACGAACGCUGGCGGCGUGCUUAACACAUGCAAGUCGAACGGAAAGGCCCUGCUUUUGUGGGGUGCUCGAGUGGCGAACGGGUGAGUAACACGUGAGUAACCUGCCCUUGACUUUGGGAUAACUUCAGGAAACUGGGGCUAAUACCGGAUAGGAGCUCCUGCUGCAUGGUGGGGGUUGGAAAGUUUCGGCGGUUGGGGAUGGACUCGCGGCUUAUCAGCUUGUUGGUGGGGUAGUGGCUUACCAAGGCUUUGACGGGUAGCCGGCCUGAGAGGGUGACCGGCCACAUUGGGACUGAGAGAGGGCCCAGCCUCCUAGGGGGGGAGGCGGGGGGAAAUAUUGCACAGGGGGGGGAAGCCUGAUGCCGCACCCCCGCGUGCGGGAUGAGGGCCUUGGGUUUGUAACCCGCUUCCGCCGGUAACGAAGGGUGAGGGAGGGUAAUGGGUAAAGAAGCCCCGGCUAACUACGUG